UUUGAACAAGUUUCCAGCCGCCUUCGUUCUCCCGAUAUACCAACAGAAAGAAAAAUCACAUCUCGCUCGAUAGGAUUGAUGAUUGGUCUUGGCGGGGAAAACUAGCACCGACCGGCGGUGCUGGGUAUCUCGUCGCCGGUAUUAAAUCAAGAAGUUGGGGCUGGAACUGGUCCGUCAUAGAAAAGUGCUGUAGUCCAACAGUCGUAGUGAUGAUAGUGGAGUAGAUGGAGAAUGGUGGUGUUGUGGUUCUGUUGAUGGCAACGAUAAUCGAAGCUAGCGUUGCUGUUCUGCUUCAUUGGAGCUAAGGGUUCUUCACCAAUGGCCCUUGGACUAGUUGGUGGCGAAUGGUGUUUCUUCACGUGAUUUCGGAGUUGGAUCGGAAUGGCAGAUGACAAAAGAAGUUACUCUAUUUUCAGUUGUUGGGUCUCAUCGGUCAAAGAAUGUGACCGAUUGGUUGUGCUUUGGUUAUGGCGAUGAUUCGUUGAAGGGAAAACGACUGGUGAGGCUAGCGGUGAUCGAUUUGAGAUCAGGGGUCGUAAUUGCUGCCGGUUGGAGGCCUUCUGGUGGUCUUGGAUUGGAGUGGAGGUGGUCGACUGGCGGCCCCAAUCCCAGAAGUGGUCUGAUGGUAGUGAUUUAAGUCGCGCCUCUCCUCAUUCUCACAAUUUUUCAUAUAAAACUCCCUAAGGAACAAAAUGGGCAACUGGAUAUUUGGAGUUCUUCAAUGGUGAUUACUUGGUGGGUGGCUCGGGGUCGCUGCCACUUUGGUCUUCUGAUGGAGGUGCUGUUGAUUGGAGGUCGCCCGGCGGGUGACUGAUGACCAGCGAUCGGAAGGUGUACAAGCAGCUUCCCUUGAGAAAACCAAUAGGCUGGUGGGGCCCAACUUCUUUGUCUUUUGACUUUCCCCUGACAGCUUUUUGUCAUUUGUCUAUGCACUAUGCACCCUUUCCCCUUCUUUAUUUUUGGUCGGCCAUGAAACGACAGAGAGCAAUUUGUAUCUCUUUUUUUUUUUUUUAUGUGAAAAGGAAACACUACUCAACUUUGUGUAUCAGUAUCCUUUCUCUUCUUUUUACUGUUUACUUUCUUUCCACUUUCAUCUCUACAUCUUUUUUUUUUAAAGAAAACAAUUUAUUGAUGGUAAAACUAUAAGAUAGAAGUAAUUUUUACCGGUGUCUUCAAAUAUAUAAGGAUUACAACACAACUUUAUACAUAAACUCAUUGCUAAAAUGAAUUUUUAAUUAUAUAUGAACUGGAAUAUGAUAAAAUUUAAAAAAGUUUCUUUGCUUCUUAGCUUUCUUAGUAAACCAUUAAAAAGGAAUGGUAAAACUGGAUGAAAACAUGUCUUCUGAAAGUUUGAGAAGAUAAAUAUUUACAAGAACUUAUUAAUCAUAAAGAUGAGGUUUUUAGAAAAGUACAUGGACUGAAAAUGGGUUAAGACCCAUCUAAACUUCUUCUCCCUUCUCCUUUUUUUUGUUUUAGAGGUUUUGAAAAAUGUNGAGUGGAGGUGGUCGACUGGCGGCCCCAAUCCCAGAAGUGGUCUGAUGGUAGUGAUUUAAGUCGCGCCUCUCCUCAUUCUCACAAUUUUUCAUAUAAAACUCCCUAAGGAACAAAAUGGGCAACUGGAUAUUUGGAGUUCUUCAAUGGUGAUUACUUGGUGGGUGGCUCGGGGUCGCUGCCACUUUGGUCUUCUGAUGGAGGUGCUGUUGAUUGGAGGUCGCCCGGCGGGUGACUGAUGACCAGCGAUCGGAAGGUGUACAAGCAGCUUCCCUUGAGAAAACCAAUAGGCUGGUGGGGCCCAACUUCUUUGUCUUUUGACUUUCCCCUGACAGCUUUUUGUCAUUUGUCUAUGCACUAUGCACCCUUUCCCCUUCUUUAUUUUUGGUCGGCCAUGAAACGACAGAGAGCAAUUUGUAUCUCUUUUUUUUUUUUUUAUGUGAAAAGGAAACACUACUCAACUUUGUGUAUCAGUAUCCUUUCUCUUCUUUUUACUGUUUACUUUCUUUCCACUUUCAUCUCUACAUCUUUUUUUUUUAAAGAAAACAAUUUAUUGAUGGUAAAA
rnacentral:lncRNA from 1 species